UUGAAAUAUUUUUAUUUAAUUUUUGAAAAAAAUAAAAUCAAUUAAACCCAAUCAACCGAACUAAAUGUCAUUUUAGAAAGAUUUAUAAUGCAUAUAGCUUGUUUAGCUUGGUGACGGAGAGUUAUGAGACCUAUGGAAUGUGUUUUUUCUUUUUGUUAGCUUAACAUAGUGAUUAGAUCAUGACCAUCAAUUCCAAUUAAUCUCAGUUGUCCAAGUCUUUAUAUAUAAAUGUAAGAUUCUAUCUACCCUAGCCAUCUAAGGCUCCAAAGUCUUCUUCUCCCUUCCUUUUCUUUUUUUUUUUUUUUUUUUGAAUGGAGACUUAGAAAAGUGAAAGCCCCAUCACUUGCGUCUGCCCACCAGUCGAGCAUCACCUCCUUGACCCUACCACUUGCAUUGUUGUUUGUUCCUUUGUAGUCACUUGGCUCCUCGCAUGUCCAUGGUUGAUAGCUCCUCAUGUUUCAUUGUGUCAUUGUAUCUAGAUAAGAGCAAGGAGAAAGCAGCAGAGUGAGCUGCUAUUGAAACUGAGGACUACACUGAUCUUUUUGUACGGGUAUUGUUUUAUACCCUUGUAGUUAUUUUGAUGUAAAUAUUGUAAUGUUUUAUGUAUCAAUGUAAAGUUGAGCAGUUGUAUAAUAAAUUGUAAUAAUAUUAUUUUUGGAUUUUCUUUUUGUAAAUUAAGAUUUGUAUUUGUGAAUUU